rnacentral:tRNA from 1 species
GCGGGGCCUGGAGGAGCCCGGGACCGCGCUGGCGUUCGGACUGCUGGUGGCCGUCGGCGAGUUGGCGCGGGUCCCGCUGCCCGGGUCCGACG